CUACGGGUGGCUCCAGUGGGGGAUAUUGCACAAUGGGCGAAAGCCUGAUGCAGCAACGCCGCGUGAAGGAAGACGGUUUUCGGAUUGUAAACUUCUAUCAGCUGGGAAGAAAAUGACGGUACCAGACUAAGAAGCCCCGGCUAACUAUGUGCCAGCAGCCGCGGUAAUACAUAGGGGGCAAGCGUUAUCCGGAAUUACUGGGUGUAAAGGGUACGUAGGCGGCUGAUCAAGUCAGAUGUGAAAGCCCGGAGCUCAACUCCGGGAUUGCAUUUGAAACUGGUCGGCUAGAGUGCAGGAGAGGAAAGUGGAAUUCCUAGUGUAGCGGUGAAAUGCGUAGAUAUUAGGAAGAACACCAGUGGCGAAGGCGGCUUUCUGGACUGUAACUGACGCUGAGGUACGAAAGCGUGGGGAGCGAACAGGAUUAGAUACCCCCGUAGUC
rnacentral:rRNA from 1 species